GCCGAGGUGGUGAAAUUGGUAGACGCGCUGGAUUCAAAAUCCAGUGUCCUUCGGGACGUGUGGGUUCGAUCCCCACCCUCGGUA
rnacentral:tRNA from 2 species